rnacentral:piRNA from 1 species
UCCGGGUCGGCUCCUGGCCGGAGCAAGAUGGU